rnacentral:rRNA from 1 species
UACGUAGGUUGCGAGCGUUAUUCGGAUUUACUGGGCGUAAAGAGCACCGAGGUGGCUUCUUAAGUUGGAUGUAAAAUCUCCUGGCUUAACUGGGAGGCGCCAUUCAAAACUGAGGAGCUUGAGGUCAGCAGGGGAAGGUGGAAUUCCCGGUGUAGUGGUGGAAUGCGUAGAGAUCGGGAGGAACACCUGUGGCGAAAGCGGCGCACUGGACCAUAACUGACGCUGAGGCGCGAAAGCUAGGGGAGCAAACAGG